rnacentral:rRNA from 1 species
CCCUUAGAUGUUCUGGGUCGCACGCGCGCUACACUGAUGCAUUCAACGAGUCUAAAACCUGCUCUGAUAGGGGUGGGUAAUCUUUUGAAUGUGCAUCGUGAUUGGGAUAGAUGAUUGCAAUUUUUCAUCUUCAACGAGGAAUGCCUAGUAAACGCAAGUCAUCAGCUUGCAUUGAUUACGUCCCUGCCCUUUGUACACACCGCCCGUCGCUCCUACCGAUUGAAUGAUCCGAUGAAUAUCAUGGAUUGAGGAUUAUAGCAGGUUCGCCUGUCUUGAUCUUCGAGAAGUGAAGUAAAUCUUAUCAUUUAGAGGAAGGAGAAGUCGUAACA